GCCGGGCGGGGCGGGAGGGAUGCGCUAACUGUAACCUGCCGAGGGGGUAGGGAGGGCCCUGCGAUACCCGCUUAGAGACGGCGCCCGGAUCCGAGCCAUGCGGUUGUCAGACAUCUGGUGCUGCCUCUCUGCCCUGCUCUCACCCGUGUGAGUGUGCGUGUAUGCGUGUGUGUGAGUGUGUGUGUUCGCGCGCGUGCGCGAGUGUUGCCCUCCCACUCAAUCCACGGCAAGCCUUAGUUUUAUCUCCUUUGCUCUGGCCGACCUAUUCAGGAAUCAGAUGAAGAGCUCAGGGGCGCUGCUCGACAACCGAUUUUGAAGAACAAUUUAAGACGAUGAUAUGGGGCAUUCAGCAAGCCUCUAAGGAGCAGAGGAAUUUAUUAAAAAGGGAUUCCCAAGCGGAGCUGUUCAGGACUCUCAGGAGGGCGUGGAUGAGUAAAGACUGUAGGUGCCUUCUAGAGGGAGUGUGAAAAGAGAGUUGAGCCCUUUCCUAGAGACAAAGAGGCUAUGGCUUGGAUAAACCUAUGCAUAAUUAACCAGGAGUACCUGGCAGGCUAGUUUGGGUUUCUUCAGGCAAGGGACCUGAGGAAAAGGAAACUUGAAGAGUUCAAAGGAGGCACAAAAACCAACCGAUGUAAUGAGCAGGGUGACUGUGAGCAAGGAACAUGAUACAUAUGUAUGAAAAUGUAUACAAAUCCCAGGAAGUACCUUUAAAACUAUCAAAACAAGAAGAAACAGGUUGGGCUGCAGAAGGGAAGUGGCAUUCAUGAACGUUCUCUGGUGUAGAGUCCUUGCUGCCUGACGGAGCUGUAUAGAGAGGAACUAACGAAAGAGCAAAGCUUAUAAUAGAUGGUUUCAUCAUCAAACAGCAGCAUUGCAAGUUUUCCUUAACUACUAACAAUCACUAGAGGUUCUCUAAUUCUUUUUUUGUUUGUUUGCUUGCUUUUUCAAAACAGAGUUUCUCUGUGUAGCCCUGUCUGUCCUGGAACUUGCUUUGUAGACCAGGCUGGCCUUGAACUCACAGAGAUCCACCUCUCUGCCUCCCUAGUGCUGGAGUUAAAGGCAUGU